rnacentral:lncRNA from 1 species
GCGACCGUGCUGGCCGCGUUCAGCAACAAGCUGCUCUCGUCCCCGGAGACCAGAGGGCUUCUCCCCAGGAAGUGCGGGGGACAGCGCGCGGCGAGGAUGGGCACCAGCCCCUGUCCCUGGGGCGCACGGCACGCGCUGGAGAGAGACAAUGGCAGGACGGCGGCGCGUACGUACAUGAUCUCAAAUCCAAGGGCAGGGCGGCGACUCGGAGAAAAGCAGCGGCUCACGGCUUCGCGGGGCCCCCGGGCGGCGAGUUCACCCGCAAUCCGCUCAUCCCCGGCCGCGUCCCCCUCGCGCGCCUCCACCGCGGCGGGGCCGACGCAGAGCGGGGCCGGGGCCGCGCCAGCCAGCGAGCGAGCCGGGGACCAGGGCGGGCUAGCGGGCGGGGGAUAAGCUGCCGCUACUCAGGGAGUGCCCGGGAACAUCGCCGGGCGCGGGACCGCCGCACAGCCCCAAGUGGACGCAGCUGACCGCAGUCCCCUCUCCGCCGCGCCUCCUCGGCUGGCAGCUGUCGCCUCCUGCUGCCGCUGCCGCUGCUCCUCCUCCUCUAAGCAGAGAAGGGGGGUCGGGGAGAUCGGGGCCUCCGCCCCCUCAGCGGACCGGGCGCAGCACGUGCCAGCCCCGGGGGUCGGGCGGAUGCGGGGGACGCGCUCCCCGCGGAGGCCCCGGGAGCUCCGGUGGCGGCGGCUGGACACAAAGGAGCCGCCCGCGCGGGGCGCCGCGGAAUAUAAAUUAAUAAAUACAACGCCCCAGCCCGAGAGCUCCCAGCCGCCAAUCCGCCUGCAGCAAGUUUGUUCAACUCGCAAGGCCGUAACCAGAGCCAGGAAAGGGGGGUGGGGCGAUGGGGCCCCCGCUCACUCCGGACUGGAAAAAGGAGGUUAGGGAAGCUAGGGAUUCCAGCCCGAGUGCCGCCCCAGCAACCCGAUUUCCCCCCCUCUUGGCCUUGACCGAAAGUGCUUUACCACGUCUGCCGCUUUCUCAUUUGUCAACAUGCGCUACAGCUGUUUUCUAAAAUCAUACUUGUGAGAAAAAAUAAAGGCAACAUUCAUGCUGCU